AUAAUAAAAUAAAUAAAUAUAUAUAUAUAAUAGACAAUAAUAUAUUCUUUAAAAUAUGAAUUAUUUACAAUCAAACGAUGAAACCACAUUAUGAAAGAAAGCAGAACAAAAAGGGUUUUUGGGGAGUUGGUGCAGAAGACAAUUCUUUCCUCCACUACGAACUAAACAGGUCUAUCAUGGAGCCCCUACAGCUUAUAGCCAUAUAUGUGGGGAAGUGUGCUUUUACUUGUAAAACUGAGCACUUUCCGUGGGGCCUCUUCAUGGAUCUCCUUCGGUAUGAAAAAUGUCCUGCCGAAGUGGCUGUACCAUAGACAUCUAACACUACAUUCACAAAGGAUAUGUGUAGGUAUCUCUGGUUUCUCCUGACAGAGCUAGCACGUUUCCGUCCCAGCCUUACUCCUUAAGGUGAUAGUUAAGGUAUAGAGGCAUAUAAUUAUCCUCACAAUCUGCCUGUUUAGGGAGAGAGGAGUCCUUUUGCCUUAAAUUUUGAGAUGUUUAUAAAUCUCUUGGCUUGCCUCAAA